UACGUAGGGUGCAAGCGUUGUCCGGAAUUAUUGGGCGUAAAGAGCUCGUAGGCGGUUUGUUGCGUCGGCUGUGAAAUCCCGAGGCUCAACCUCGGGUCUGCAGUCGAUACGAGCAAACUAGAGUGUUGCAGGGGAGACUGGAAUUCCUGGUGUAGCGGUGAAAUGCGCAGAUAUCAGGAGGAACACCGGUGGCGAAGGCGGGUCUCUGGGCAACAACUGACGC
rnacentral:rRNA from 1 species